CUUGGAUAGGUAGCAUAUUGAAUCAGUUUUGUGGUUUAUGGCAGAUGUGCUCGAGUAUCUCGUAGUAGAUUUGUUAUAGAGGCUAAAUCAAGCCUACUUGGAGGUCAAGACAUCUUAGUGUAAAUCCGAGUUAUUGUGGAUAUAGAAUGGAUUUGCCAUUUAAUGGUGGUUUGCUUGGUCACCAAGGUUUGAGCAAAUAUUGAGGAAUCUUGCAAAGAAGAGGAAUGUGGACGUAUUCAUGCAAUUAUGUCACCUUUGGCAAUUAAGGCAAGGGACGUAUUGGAUUGGUUUGAGGAAGUUAUAAUCAUCCUUAAGAGAUUCAUCUUUCUUUUUACUUUGACACUAAGUACAUGUUCAAUUGCAUAAUCUAAAGUUCAUUACUAUACAUAUGUAGAAGUACCCAAAUUUUAGAGAGACCCUUUGCUCUCACACAAUUACUUUGGAUUUAUUCUAAACAUGUAUCCUAAACCUAAUUCAACAUUUCUAGUUCAACAGUAUCAUACAUGCACCCAGGUCCGGUCCUGGCCCAGUGCUGGCAGUGAGCUGGCAUCGGAGCCCAAGGCUGAAGGGACACUUUUUGUUUUUUGUUCUUUUUCAUUUGUUAUAUAUAUAUAUAUAUACAGUUUCUAUCCAGAGCGAAACUUCACUUUCAAAUUAAAGUAUGAAGUUUCUUAUUUAACUCACUUUUCGAUCAUAUUUUCACAUCUCCAUUGUUUAGUUUGUAGAACCUAAUGCAUAGAUCACUCCUGCCAAGUUUCAUCAAAAUUGGUAAUCGUUUAGGUACCGAAUUAGAUUAAAUCAACGAACGGACCAUAAAUCUGUCUAUUCAGAACUGUUUGUGUAAAUAACAUUUAUGAAAACCCAAACGAUCAUCAAAUUCAAUGAAACUUGACAGAAGUGAUCUAUGCAUUAGGUUUUACAAACUGAACGGUGGAGAUGUGGAAAUACGACUGAAAAGUGAGUCAAAUAAGGGAACUUCACACUUUAAUUUCAAAGUGAAGCUUCGUUCUGGAUAGGAACUAUAUAUAUAUACACACACACACCUCAUCAUCGGCCGGGUAGGGCUUUAACUUAGUCAACAAAACUUAGGACCGGGUAGGGUAGGGUUGAGGCUUAAAAAUGUAAACUCUUACCCACCCUAAAGGCCCAUCUCGUUAGGGCUAAAAGGGCCGGGUAGGGCCGGUCUUUUAAAUAGGGAUAAAUAACGCUGAAAUGAGCUAGUUUUAAUUUUUUUUUUCUCAAAAUUCUCUCAAGAAUUAUAUCACUUAUAUAUAAUACUCUAUUUUUAGUCAUAUUUAAAAUACAUGCAUAUACACUAUUCUUAUACUUAACUUAGAACAUGUAUCACUUAGAACAUGUACCAAUAAAUAUUAACCUAAGUGGUUAUAUUCAUAUAUCUCAUGAACUAUCUUUCUAAAUCAUCAAAAUUCAAUCAUUGUUUAACAAAGCAAAAGGAAAUCAAAGAAAUAAAGCUUACAAAACUAAUUAUAAGAAAGAAGAUUAGUUGUAUUGAUCUAAAAAAUAAGAGACAUAUUAAAAACAAUAGAAAAAAUAUAGAAUUAUUAGGGCCUAAAAGGCGGGCUUAUAGGCUUAUAGGGCCGGGUUUCAUUUGUUCAACCCUUACCCUACCUUCUUUGAGAAAGGCUAGGGCUAGUCCGCCCUAAUGGAGGGCCGGGUUUCAUUUGUUCAACCCUUACCCUACCUUAUUUGAGAAAGGCUAGGGCCAGCCCGCCCUAAUGGAGGGCCGGGUAGGGCUUUGGCCCUAGAGGGUAGGGUGGGUUUUAGGGCGGGCUUGGGCCGAAGGGCCAAAUGAUUAUUUAUAUAUAUAUAUAUAUAUUUUUUUUUCUUUAUUCAUUUGUUCCAGUCUCUCCAUCUCUCUCAAACUCUUAAUCUUCUGAUUCUUCUCCCAAAUUCAAAUACCCAUUACAACAAUAAAUGAGCUUGAUUGGAGGCCAAUGCCUGGUCGGUGCAUAUAUCAUAAUGGAAGUGCAACCAAGCUCGUUAAAGGCCGAUCACUCAUUCCCUGAGGCAUGGUUCACUCGAUCUACUCCAACUUGAUCAUUUUUGAUAUCAGAUUCUACACUAUCUGCCCCUUUUUUUACUCUGAUUUACAUGCAUGACAUCCCAGGGAUGAGGACAAGGACAUUUUGGUUGAAAUACAUAAGUUUGGUGCUAAAUAUUUUCACCAAAGCUCGUUUAGGCUGUUCUAGCGAUUCAAACAAAUAUGAAUUGAAAUUUGUUUAAUCCUUUAGGUUUGAAGUCGACAUUUGUUCAGUCAUUAUGGGUUUAUUUUAAUCUGAAUGGUCAUUAAAGUCACGAUUUUUCAUCCAAAUGGUCUUUCUAUCAAUUUUUCUUUUAGAAUACUGACGUGGCUGGGGUUGUUAAAGACAUUGUAAUUUUUAACAACCACCACUACCAGAAAAAAGUUCUUAGGUGACAAAAUUUUUUUGUCACCUAAGCGCUUCUGUCGUCAUGUAAACACUAAAACAACGAAAAUUUCGUCACCUAAGGGUUGUCAUCUAAGACUGGUGGUUAGAGCACUCAGGUGACGAAAAUAUGAAUUUCGUCAUCUUAGUAAUGACUAAGAUGAUGAAAUAUUGUUCGUCGCCAAGAUACUUAGAUGACGAAAAUUAUUUCGUCGCCAAGCUACUCAGCUGACGAAAAUAGGUUCGUCGCAGGCUACUUAGCUGACGAAAAUAAUUUCGUCGCAAGACUACUUAGCUGACCAAAACACUAACAAUGGUCAGUUUGCUGACAACUCUUUCAUCGGGCUAAGGCCACAAAAGUUUAACUUUCGUCACCUUAGUGCUAUUUAUUUUUAUUAAAUUUAAUCAUUAAAAAUUAUUAAAAUCACAUUUCACUACCAGGACAAGCACUUUAGUCGACGAAAAAUUUUCGUCGGCCUGUCAGCUUAAUUCGUCGGCUAAGAUUUCGUCGGGAAAAGGUCGUCUGUGGUGACUUUAGCCGACGACACAUGUAGAAGUCGUCGGCUAUAGUCCAGAGUUUAGCCGACGAAAAAAAUGUCGUCGGCUAUAGUCUAGACUUUAGACGACGAAAAAAUGUCGUCGGUUAUAGUCCAAACUUUAGUUGACGAAAAAAAUUUAAGGUAUUCGUCAGCUAUAGUCUAGAGUUUAGCCGACGAAAAACAUGUCGUCGGUUAUUUCUCCGACUUUAGCCGACGAAGAAUUUAAAAUAUUUGUCGGCUAAAGUUUGUAAUUAAAAAAAUACAAAAUAACUAAAGCCGACGAAAUAUAGUCUAUUUCGUCGGCUUUAUAGGGAUUUAGCCGACGAAUUAAAGUGUAUUUCGUCGGCUAAAACUUAUAUUUUUUUUUAAAAAAAAACUUUAGCUGACGAAUUAAGGCGUUUUUCGUCGGCUAUAAGUCCAUUCCAAGUAAAAAAAAAAAAACCCCGAAAUUUCUGAAUUACCAUUCCAAGCAAGCUGCAAAAUACACGAAAACAAUUCCAUAUAACCAACAACAAGCACAUAAAACUAUAUAAUUCAUCAACUACACAAAAUCUAAAUCGUCUAAAUUAAUAUCCGCUUCUGGGGGCUGCUGCGAAGGUUGCUGCGGCUGGGGUAGCGGUAUAGCCGUAGGCAUGGGCGGAGCCGGAAGUCCCUGAAGCUGGGCAGCUGUAAAGUCCUGCAUGUACUGGAACAUCUGCUGCUGCUGGGCCUGCUGGAUGGCAUGUAUCUCGGCAACAUAGGCUGCCUGCGCGGUAUUAUAGGCUGUCUGCGAGGCAUUAUAGGCAGCCUGAGCAGCUUGCUGUUCUCGUAGUCUCUGAACUUCCGACUCUAGCUGAGUUGUCCUGGUGGUCGUGGACGUGGUCCUGCUGCUGGUCGAGGNNN
rnacentral:lncRNA from 1 species